rnacentral:rRNA from 1 species
CCAGACUCCUACGGGAGGCAGCAGUGGGGAAUAUUGCGCAAUGGGGGCAACCCUGACGCAGCCAUGCCGCGUGAAUGAAGAAGGCCUUCGGGUUGUAAAGUUCUUUCGGUAGCGAGGAAGGCAUUUAGUUUAAUAGACUAGGUGAUUGACGUUAACUACAGAAGAAGCACCGGCUAACUCCGUGCCAGCAGCCGCGGUAAUACGGAGGGUGCGAGCGUUAAUCGGAAUAACUGGGCGUAAAGGGCACGCAGGCGGUGACUUAAGUGAGGUGUGAAAGCCCCGGGCUUAACCUGGGAAUUGCAUUUCAUACUGGGUCGCUAGAGUACUUUAGGGAGGGGUAGAAUUCCACGUGUAGCGGUGAAAUGCGUAGAGAUGUGGAGGAAUACCGAAGGCGAAGGCAGCCCCUUGGGAAUGUACUGACGCUCAUGUGCGAAAGCGUGGGGAGCAAACAGGAUUAGAUACCCUGGUAGUCCACGCUGUAAACGAUGUCGAUUUGGGGGUUGAACUUUGAGUUUGGCGCCCGUAGCUAACGUGAUAAAUCGACCGCCUGGGGAGUACGGCCGCAAGGUUAAAACUCAAAUGAAUUGACGGGGGCCCGCACAAG